GCCUACAGUCAUACCACCCUAAAUGCACCCAAUCUUGUCUCAUCUUGGAAGCUAAGCAAGGUUGGGCCUGGUUAGUACUAUGAAUGGGAGGAAGCAGAAGGAGCUAACAAGCAAGCAGCAUGCA
rnacentral:rRNA from 1 species